rnacentral:rRNA from 1 species
AGUCGAACGAAGUAGCAAUACUUAGUGGCAGACGGGUGAGUAACAUGUAGGUAUCUGCCCUUUGGCCUGGAAUAACACGAGGAAACUUGUGCUAAUACCGGAUAAGUCUUUACGGAGAAAGCUUUAUGCACCAUUGGAUGAGCCUGCACUUGAUUAGUUUGUUGGUGGGGUAAUGGCCUACCAAGACUGUGAUCAAUAGCUGAUUUGAGAGGAUGAUCAGCCACAUUGGGACUGAGACACGGCCCAAACUCCUACGGGAGGCAGCAGUGGGGAAUCUUGCACAAUGGAGGAAACUCUGAUGCAGCGAUGCCGCGUGAGUGAAGAAGGCCCUUGGGUUGUAAAGCUCUUUCGUCGGGGAAGAAAAUGACUGUACCCGAAUAAGAAGGUCCGGCUAACUUCGUGCCAGCAGCCGCGGUAAUACGAAGGGACCUAGCGUAGUUCGGAAUUACUGGGCUUAAAGAGUUCGUAGGUGGUUGAAAAAGUUAGUGGUGAAAUCCCAGAGCUUAACUCUGGAACUGCCAUUAAAACUUUUCAGCUAGAGUAUGAUAGAGGAAAGCAGAAUUUCUAGUGUAGAGGUGAAAUUCGUAGAUAUUAGAAAGAAUACCAAUUGCGAAGGCAGCUUUCUGGAUCAUUACUGACACUGAGGAACGAAAGCAUGGGUAGCGAAGAGGAUUAGAUACCCUCGUAGUCCAUGCCGUAAACGAUGUGUGUUAGACGUUGGAAAUUUAUUUUCAGUGUCGCAGGGAAACCGAUAAACACACCGCCUGGGGAGUACGACCGCAAGGUUAAAACUCAAAUGAAUUGACGGGGACCCGCACAAGUAGUGGAGCAUGUGGUUUAAUUCGAAGAUACGCGCAGAACCUUACCAACACUUGACAUGUUCGUCGCGACUCUAAGAGAUUAGAGUUUUCGGUUCGGCCGGACGAAACACAGGUGCUGCAUGGCUGUCGUCAGCUCGUGUCGUGAGAUGUUGGGUUAAGUCCCGCAACGAGCGCAACCCUCACUUUUAGUUGCCAUCAUUAAGUUGGGCACUCUGAAAGAACUGCCAGUGAUAAGCUGGAGGAAGGUGGGGAUGACGUCAAGUCCUCAUGGCCCUUACGUGUUGGGCUACACACGUGCUACAAUGGUAUCUACAACAGGAAGCAAGACUGCGAAGUUAAGCAAAUCCCUAAAAGAUACCUCAGUUCGGAUUGCACUCUGCAACUCGAGUGCAUGAAGCUGGAAUUACUAGUAAUCGUGGAUCAGCGUGCCACGGUGAAUGCGUUCCCGGGUCUUGUACACACCGCCCGUCACACCAUGGGAGUUGGUUCUACCUUAAG